GGCAUAAGCUCAGUGAUAGAGCCCAUGCCUAGCAUGCAUGAGGGGCUGGGUUCAAUCCCCAGUACUGCCA
rnacentral:tRNA from 1 species